UUCUGCUGAGUAGAGGGCUUAAUGAGAUGGUCACCCCCACCCUGCCAGCGUACCGCUCACAGGGUGGGGGUGACCAUCUCAUUAAGGCCCCGCAGGGC
rnacentral:misc_RNA from 3 species